CGCCCCCAACGGGUAUCGGUUUAGUCUGACUGAGACUCUUUUCUUGGAUCUGACCUCAUUACAGUAGCAGAAUUCCCAUUAAGUAAACAGAACUGCACAAAAAAGUUAUCCUUGUCUGCUGAUUCUUGUCUUAGAACAGCUCUUAAAUUAUUUCUUCACUUAGUAGAUCAACUAUUUUUUGUCCCUUAGUACAUAUAGUCUACGUUUAGUGGGUCCAUAUUCAUCCUUGUCUGCUUAUUCUUGUCUUAGAACAGCUUUUAAAUUAUUUAUUCACUUAGUAGAUCAACUUAUUUUGUAUUGUCUAUGUUUAGUGGUCCUCUCUUAAAGGGUGCAUUAUUUAUUAGAACAAAUUUCUGGUUCUCUCAACGGCAAUGGUAUAUGUUAUCAGCAACGUGAACACAACCACAGACUACAUCUCUCUGAAAUCUGGACAUGUCUUCAGCAUGGGGAGGAAGUUACAAUUUUUCCAAUUAUUAGCUAGGCAUAUUUUCAAAUAUGUAAAUGUCAGUUAUGACUUGCCUGGCCAUUAUUACUAUAGCCGUGAUGAGUAUUUACUAGAAGUCCCUAUUGCAUCUUGCAUGAAGACAAAUAUAGUGCGAGAACUUUUCUAUGAUGAUUGAUGAGCUCAUACAUUGCCUACACUAGAUAUCUGAGUAGUUUCAUGUUUACCUCAGCAGUCUUCCAUAAGCUAAACUGAGAUAGAUUUUUCACUAGUGUACCUUCAUGUCAAACAUAAAUCUUUUAGGCAAGAUAUGUCAAGCAUAACUUGCCCAAAGCUCUUUGCUUCUUUUUGCACAAACAUAUGUAGUUCACAGAAGGUCCUCUCUCUCAUGUUUAUGAAUCUGGAAUGUCUUAGAGUGAUAAUACUUGAGGCCCUCGAGACCCUUGAGGCAGAGUUUUGAGCAGAGAGGACAAUUCUCCAAGCAAACUGUGCUACUCUACUGACAAGUUACUGUCAGAUUUCACAUAUCUAGAUCCUUCACGAUAAUUCUGUGUUUCUUAAUUGAUUGGAACUUUCACAAGACAUUAAAUGGAUUAGUUUACACCUGUCAAUGGUUUUGCUCCCUUGCAAGUCCUUUGUUCAAUUCGAUGUUG
rnacentral:lncRNA from 1 species